CUCCCCUCCUCCUAGGUAACAGUUGCUGUGAAUUCUGAAGAGAAAAAGAUUCCCGAACAACUUUUUCAACCAAUUGAUUACCUCAGAGUAACUUCAGCUGCCCUGGACCUAUAGUGAAAACUCUUUAACAUGAGGAACACUCAAAAUGCUACCUCUUCUGCUAAUAUGCAGUUUCAAAGCAUUUGAAAUUUUGCAAGCACUGCAGUCAGCACACAGUCCCUAAGACAAAACUCAUCCCUUCAAGUAGCUGGUUCUUAAUGUCAUCCUUAUUAAGGUGCAGAGUUUGACCUCUGUAGCUGUGGCCUAAGAAGAGAAUAAAAUGAAAUCUGGGAAACUCUGAUUUCAGCUAGCCUUGUCCUCCCCUUCCACAUCCUACAAUCCAACUGUAGAAGGAACAUGAAUAGACCAGGACAGCCAAAUCUGACCUGCCUGCUUCAAGACUACAAGAUUUCUUCUAAGUCCUUCUGUUUGCUUAGAUCAGAAUUCAGCAUAAAGCACUCACUUGUAAAUGCAGAAACAAAAACAAACAAACAAACAAAUAAAUAAAAGAGAAGAAAACUACAAAAGUUCCAGUACUUGGAGUUUCACCUCUAAUUGGAACUCUG